AACUGAAGUUGGUGGUGGUCGGAAAGCUAUCAUAAUCUUUGUUCCCGUUCCUCAACUGAAAUCUUUCCAGAAAAUCCAAGUCCGGCUAGUACGCGAAUUGGAGAAAAAGUUCAUUUGGACAAAGCACAGCAGAACAAUGUGGAACACAAGGUUGAAACUUUUUCUGGUGUCUAUAAGAAGCUCACGGGCAAGGAUGUUAAUUUUGAAUUCCCAGAGUUUCAAUUGUAAACAAAAAUGGCUAAAU
rnacentral:lncRNA from 1 species